CACGUAGGGCGCAAGCGUUGUCCGGAAUUAUUGGGCGUAAAGAGCUCGUAGGCGGUCUGUUACGUCUGCUGUGAAAACCCAGGGCUUAACCCUGGGCUUGCAGUGGGUACGGGCAGACUAGAGUGCGGUAGGGGAGACUGGAAUUCCUGGUGUAGCGGUGAAAUGCGCAGAUAUCAGGAGGAACACCGAUGGCGAAGGCAGGUCUCUGGGCUGACACUGACGCUCAUGCACGAAAGCGUGGGGAGCAAACAGGAUUAGA
rnacentral:rRNA from 1 species